CUUGCUCUUUCCGGAAUUGAGUGGCAAACGGGUGAGUAACACGUAAACAACCUGCCUUCAGGAUGGGGACAACAGACGGAAACGACUGCUAAUACCGAAUACCUUCCAAUUUCCGCAUGGAGAUAGGAAGAAAGGGUGGCCUCUACUUGUAAGCUAUCGCCUGAAGAGGGGUUUGCGUCUGAUUAGCUAGUUGGUGAGGUAACGGCCCACCAAGGCGACGAUCAGUAGCCGGUCUGAGAGGAUGAACGGCCACACUGGAACUGAGACACGGUCCAGACUCC
rnacentral:rRNA from 1 species